AUACGGGAGGCAGCAGUCGAGAAUUUUUCACAAUGGGCGAAAGCCUGAUGGAGCGACGCCGCGUGAGGGAUGAAGGGCUUCGGCCUGUAAACCUCUGUCAUUCGUGAUCAAAUUUGCUAAGCGAACACCUUGGUAAUUGAUAGUAGCGAAAGAGGAAGAGACGGCUAACUCUGUGCCAGCAGCCGCGGUAAUACAGAGGUCUCAAGCGUUGUUCGGAUUUACUGGGCGUAAAGGGUGCGUAGGCUGUUUUGUAAGUCUGAUGUGAAAUUUUGUGGCUCAACUACAAAAGCGCAUUGGAAACUACAAAGCUAGAGGACUGGAGGGGAAGUCGGAAUUCUCGGUGUAGCAGUGAAAUGCGUAGAUAUCGAGAGGAACACCAGUGGCGAAGGCGGACUUCUAGACAGUUCCUGACGCUGAAGCACGAAAGCUAGGGGAGCAAACAGGAUUAGAUACCCCGGU
rnacentral:rRNA from 1 species